rnacentral:rRNA from 1 species
AUAUUGGCGAGAGACCGAUAGCGCACAAGUAGAGUGAUCGAAAGAUGAAAAGCACUUUGGAAAGAGAGUUAAAAAGCACGUGAAAUUGUUGAAAGGGAAGCGCUUGCAAUCAGACUUGUUUAAACUGUUCGGCCGGUCUUCUGACCGGUUUACUCAGUUUGGACAGGCCAGCAUCAGUUUCGGCGGCCGGAUAAAGGCUCUGGGAAUGUGGCCUCCACUUCGGUGGAGGUGUUAUAGCCCAGGGUGUAAUACGGCCAGCCGGGACUGAGGUCCGCGCUUCGGCUAGGAUGCUGGCGUAAUGGUUGUAAGCGACCCGUCUUGAAACACGGACC